GAUGAAGAACGCAGCGAAAUGCGAUAAGUAGUGUGAAUUGCAGAAUUCAGUGAAUCAUCGAAUCUUUGAACGCACAUUGCGCCCUUUGGUAUUCCUUAGGGCAUGCCUGUUCGAGCGUCAUUUAAACCUUCAAGCUAAGCUUGGUGUUGGGUGACUGUCCGCUUCACGGCGGACUCGCCUCAAAAUUAUUGGCGGCCGGUACAUUGGCUUCGAGCGCAGCAGAAACGCGAACUCGGGCCCGUCGUAUUGGCUCCCAGAAGCUAUCUUCACAAUUUUGACCUCGGAUCAGGUAGGGAUUCCCGCUGAACUUAAGCAUAUCAAUAAGCGGAGGA
rnacentral:misc_RNA from 1 species